ACCCGUCUGUUUGAGAACCGGAUGCUACCCUACGCCCCGGGAGUGGUGCAGAUGCAGGCUAUCCCUGAGGACGCCAUCCCUGAUGACACAGUGGACGAGGAUACAGAGGACCCUGACAAACGCAUGUCCAUCAGUGCUUCAGACAAGAGGAUAGCCUCCGAUGAGGAGUUCUCUGACUCGGAGGACAAGGGACAAGGAGGAAUGAGGAACGUGGCCGAUAACAAAAAAGGAACGAAGCAGCCCCGGGUAGAGGAAGACAAAGAGCGAGAGGAGAUGUAAGUUGAGGUGAAAGAGGAGAAAGCAAAGGAAACAAGCACUGAGAAAACUGACACAAAGUGUGAAGAAUGAGCAGACUAGUAGUGCCUGAUUCAGCCACAUGGUAGCACUGUGAUCUCUCCAUGGACAGUCCAGAGUGUGGCAGUCAGGGCAGCUCAUCUCAGCUGAUUCUACUCCCUCAUGUCAGACUCCAUAACUGAAGCAUUAUAUUUAUUGUCAUUGAUCUGUAUCAAAGAUCAUUUCUUAUAUUGACAAGAUGGUUGAGGGACCACUCUAGCAAUGGAAAUGCAUGUCCUCAAAGAUGGAAGGCAGGCAAGAUCAGGUGGGACCAUUCUAGCAAUUUUAUGAGAGGGCAG